rnacentral:rRNA from 1 species
UCCUACGGGAGGCAGCAGUGGGGAAUAUUGGGCAAUGGGCGCAAGCCUGACCCAGCAACGCCGCGUGAAGGAAGAAGGUCUUCGGAUUGUAAACUUUUGUCUUAUGGGACGAUAAUGACGGUACCAUAGGAGGAAGUCACGACUAACUACGUGCCAGCAGCCGCGGUAAUACGUAGGUGGCAAGCGUUGUCCGGAUUUACUGGGUGUAAAGGGCGUGUAGCCGGGCUGACAAGUCAGAUGUGAAAUCCGGGGGCUCAACCCCCGAACUGCAUUUGAAACUGUUGGUCUUGAGUAUCG